CAGCAGCCGCGGGAAUACAGAGGGUGCGAGCGUUAAUCGGAUUUACUGGGCGUAAAGCGUGCGUAGGCGGCUUUUUAAGUAGGAUGUGAAAUCCCUGAGCUUAACUUAGGAAUUGCAUUCGAUACUGGGAAGCUAGAGUAUGGGAGAGGAUGGUAGAAUUCCAGGUGUAGCGGUGAAAUGCGUAGAGAUCUGGAGGAAUACCGAUGGCGAAGGCAGCCAUCUGGCCUAAUACUGACGCUGAGGUACGAAAGCAUGGGGAGCAAACAGGAUUAGAUACCCCGGUAGUCCCUGUCUCUUAUAC
rnacentral:rRNA from 1 species